CUAAUAAACUGCAACAAGCAUGGCCUGGCAACAAGUCAACAACAAUAACUGCAAUUACAAUUUGCAAGUUCUGUCUUUGUCUGUCUGAGUAAUUUCCGAUUUUUUCUGUUUUUACCAAUUUUUAGAAACUGUGUCUUUGUUUAGAAAAUAAUUUUCUUUUCUAACUACAGCUCUCAAGCACAGAGAGUUGAGUGUACUCGGACUUGCAUACUGUUGCAGUGAUUAUGAAAGGCAAAUCUUGUUAUUGGUUUAUGAGAUAAAGAUAAAGUGUGGAACCUGAGCUUGCCAGAGCUAUUGGUGAGUUUGCGAAAUACCUCACCUAUUCUAAACUUGGGCAUCGAUACAUGUUUGUCAAAUUGUCUUUGCCACUUGUGAUCCAGAGCACUUUGUUCAUCUACAUGUCCUUCUGCUGGACAGAAAUAAUCGACAAGUCACAUUUUAUUGACACAGACUAGUCUUGGUCUGUGGUUCAGGUCUGCUGGAUGAUAUUAGAAGUGUUAGCUUUUCUUUUGUUGUUUGUCAUUUUGGAAUGCAAA